ACGCGAACGGUUUUCUUCGGAAGACCUAGUAGAGUGGCGCACGGGUGAGUAACGCGUAAGUAAUCUACCUUGGCAUCUGGGAUAACCCACCGAAAGGUGUGCUAAUACCGGAUACGUUUAGUUUAUCAUAAGUUAAACUAAAGAAAGAUGGCCUCUUUUUUAAGCUAUUGUGCCAAGAGGAGCUUGCGUACCAUUAGCUAGUUGGUGGGGUAAAGGCCUACCAAGGCAACGAUGGUUAGCGGGUCUGAGAGGAUGAUCCGCCACACUGGAACUGAAACACGGACCAGACUCCUACGGGAGGCAGCAGUGAGGAAUAUUGCGCAAUGGGGGCAACCCUGACGCAGCGACGCCGCGUGGAUGAUGAAGGCUUUCGAGUCGUAAAAUCCUGUCAGAUGGGAAGAAGUGCACUAUGGUUAAUACCUGUAGUGUUUGACGGUACCAUCAAAGGAAGCACCGGCUAACUCCGUGCCAGCAGCCGCGGUAAUACGGAGGGUGCAAGCGUUGUUCGGAAUUACUGGGCGUAAAGCGCGCGCAGGCGGUCUGUUAAGUCAGAUGUGAAAGUCCACGGCUCAACCGUGGAAGUGCAUUUGAAACUGGCAGACUUGAGUACUGGAGGGGGUGGUGGAAUUCCCGGUGUAGAGGUGAAAUUCGUAGAUAUCGGGAGGAAUACCGGUGGCGAAGGCGACCACCUGGCCAGAUACUGACGCUCAUGUGCGAAAGCGUGGGGAGCAAACAGGAUUAGAUACCCUGGUAGUCCACGCCCUAAACGAUGAAUGUUAGUCGUUGGAGUGCUAGUCACUUCAGUGAUGCAGUUAACACAUUAAACAUUCCGCCUGGGGAGUACGGUCGCAAGAUUAAAACUCAAAGGAAUAGACGGGGACCCGCACAAGUGGUGGAGCAUGUGGUUUAAUUCGAAGAUACGCGAAGAACCUUACCUAGCCUUGACAUUGAUAGAACACUUUAGAGAUAGAGUGGUGCCCUUCGGGGAACUUGAAAACAGGUGCUGCACGGCUGUCGUCAGCUCGUGUCGUGAGAUGUUGGGUUAAGUCCCGCAACGAGCGCAACCCUCGUGACUAGUUACUAACGGUUCGGCCGAGGACUCUAGUCAGACUGCCUUCGCAAGGAGGAGGAAGGUGAGGACGACGUCAAGUCAUCAUGGCCCUUACGGCUAGGGCGACACACGUGCUACAAUGGGUAGGACAAUGAGAAGCGAUACCGCGAGGUGGAGCAAAUCUAUAAACCUACUCUCAGUUCGGAUAGCAGUCUGCAACUCGACUGCUUGAAGCUGGAAUCACUAGUAAUCGUAGAUCAGCCAUGCUACGGUGAAUACGUUCCCGGGCCUUGUACACACCGCCCGUCACACCACGGGAGUUGGUUGUACCAGAAGCAGUUGAGCUAACUUU
rnacentral:rRNA from 1 species